rnacentral:ncRNA from 2 species
UAAGUUUUUAAAGCGCCAGAACUAUUUUCCGUCCGCAAUGGAAAAUAGUUGACGAGGUGGGGGUUAUCGAAUUUUUUCGGCGGGUACCUCCCGAUUGCACAUCUCAGUCGUCAGGCUUUUUUCUCAAAACAAUGGGGUGACUCAUUGCACAAAGGGAAGAAGUAAGAUGUCC